CAGGAACACUUCGCAGAGAUGUACAAAUAUAGCCAUGUGCAGUACUCCAUUGGGAUUCAAGUGGACGAGUUGAAGACUGUAAUACUCGAGAAUACCUCUGAAGAAGUCGGAGGUUUCUUACCCAUCUUCUUGGAGCGCAUCCGCUAGGCCUCAACCUCAAGUUAAGAGGUUUCCACCCGGAUCUAAGCAGCAAUGGCGGAGGCGGCAGCACUGGCAGCGGUGACAGCGAACGAAGGCACAAAAGAGGAGGAAGAAAACAGAUCUAAUGCCCGUGCGGCGUCACAAUAACUGAAAAGGGGGUUUUCCAGAUUUAUCUCCGCCAGUUCCG
rnacentral:lncRNA from 1 species